CGGUACCGUUUCAAUUUUGAAGACGACGAGAGCGCUGUGAAGUGACAAGCAGAGGUGACAAGUCUGCUGACAGUUGAUAAAACCAUCCCAAAAUGGCAGGUGACGAGAAGUUAUUCUUCUCUAACACCGUUCAACAUUUGGCGAGAUCAUUAGCAGCAAUCAAGCCAACGCCAUGGGAAAAGAUAAACAGACUAUUCAAACUAUGUCCUCAAGAAUCAGCGCAAGGUGUUUACAGACUGGAUCAGCGAGGACAGGAGGCAGUCAUAGCACUCGGAAUCUAUUUUCUAGAAUCCAAUCUCCAACACAGAGACAAAAUUCUGCCAUAUUUAUCAAGGUUACUAAGAGGACUGCCAAAAGCAGUAUGGCUCACGGAAGUAAAAAGUACGCCUAGCGACAGGGUACCUAUCGCUGAACGCUUCAGCUUUUGUUUAAAUACACUACUCAGUGAUAUUGCCACAAAAUGUGAACCAGUCAGAGAAGAAGUUAUAGCAACUCAGGUUGAGAUUUUAGCAGUUCUCACAAAUUUAAUUAGAGGAUGUAAGGAUCAGGAAGGAAACCGGAGUAUGCAAGCUAAACUGUCACUAUGCAAAUGCCUGGUUCCUAUAUUAAUUGGACUUGCCCGCUCAAUGGGUCGUUUCUGUAGUUCGGAUCCACCAUUACUGGCUCGUAUUUUCCCACGACCAGAGCCUCCGAUUCUUCCAACACCAAGUUUCACAGACAAAUCUCCAGUCAACAAAAAAAAGAGCUUCAAUAAUUUCCGUUCCAUCAUUCCGAGAUCAUUAAGUGGAAAUCUAAAUCCACAUACAUUAGAAAUAUUGCAGCUAACAGACGUCGCAGAUUACGCAGCAACAAACAAGAGGCCAUCAUUACAAUCUUAUUCAUCAGUUCCAUAUGAUCCAACUACGUACUUUUUCAGCAGAUAUGGUUCAAGUUUCAAUCAAUUUCCACAAAUGAGAUUCACAGAAAGCCCAGAAAAAAGAGCCACUCUACAAUUCAGCAUCGUUCACUUACAGAGUGUCCUAGCAUUGGCAAAAAAAUUACUUACCAAAGAAAUGCUUACAUUUCUAGAUGAGGAGGCUCAACAAGUUUAUAAUUCUGGACAGGUUUUAGUAUUUCCUUACAAAACAUUCAGCGAGACUAUGAAUCUAGUCAUGGUGACCCUUCUCAGAGAGCUCUUGCAACAUCAGAGAGACUUACCGAGUCCAUUUACUAGAGAUGUACAAGAGUUUGUGAAGGGCCUGUUUUUAUCAGGCCAGACAGAGUUGCAAUCUAGGCAUCACGAUGCGAGUGAAAGAGAAGACAUGGAUACAAAUUUCCAAACAGUCAAUAAAUUCAAAGUCAAUGUCAUGGCGAAUUCAGCUUGUGUUGACCUUUUGGUUUGGGCUAUUGGUGACGAAACUGGUGCGGAUAGUCUUUGUGGAAGACUGACUGAAAAAAUUAAUUCAAACCAUGGUCAUAAAUUGGUGCUGGCACAUAUGCCUUUAUUAAUGGUUUGCCUAGAGGGUUUGGGGAAACUAGCUCAGAAGUUUCCAAACAUAGCUACAACCUCGAUUUACUGCUUACGUGACUUUUUGGUCACUCCAUCUCCAAUUCUCUUCAAACUUCAUCGUCAACAUAAUAAUAAACACAGCAAGGAAAAUCAAUUCAAAGUUACAAUUCAAGGUAAAGAAAUGAAAGCUGUGGAUGCUAAACAAACAACUUCUCAAACACAAAGUGCUUUUGAAAAAUUGAGAGACGCGGCUAUCCAAAAUUUGUGUAUAGCUCUGCAAGCUGCUCAUCAUGUCGAUCCUUAUUGUGUACCUGCCUUGGUAGCCAGCGUAUCCAACAGACUUUUCACAGCAGAGAAGAGCGACAGUGAAACUUCUCUUAUCUCGACCAAUAUUGUUAUUAUGUUGGGACAUGUAGCAGUUGCACUGAAAGAUACUCCAAAGACAACGGAUACGAUUUUACAAUUUUUCCAGCAGCGUUUUUGUCGAGUACCAAGUGCGUUGGAUAUUUUAAUAGUCGAUCAGCUUGGAUGUAUGAUAAUAUCGAAAUGUGAACCACAAGUUUACGAAGAGAUUAUGAGGAUGUUCACUACAAUUACCGUUGAAUCAGGAAGUGCGACUUAUACGACCAACGAUGAACGGAAACAGUAUAGGCAUGUGUCUGGCGCUGUGAUAAAUGCUUUAGCAAAUAUUGCUGCUAAUCUUAAAGGAGAGUCAGAAUUGAACGACUUAUUAGUUCGCUUACUCGAACUUUUCGUGCAGUUGGGUUUAGAAGGAAAACGAGCAAAUGACAAAGCACCGAAUCCACAAAAAGCAUCAAGUAGUGCUGGCAAUCUAGGUGUGUUGAUACCGGUGAUUUCAGUGCUAAUGCGAAGAUUACCUCCAAUAAAACUCCCGAAACCUAGAUUAUUAAAACUAUUUAAAGAUUUUUGGUUGUACUGCGUUGUCAUGGGCUUUACAGCUGCUGAUUCUGGCUUAUGGCCACAAGAGUGGUAUGAAGGAGUCAAAGAAAUUGCAGUGAAAUCCCCAUAUCUAAUUUCCCAAACUUCAGCUCGUUUGGAAAUGCGCGAACUACAAUACACAUCUGCUGUGCGAAAUGACAGUGUCUCUAUCAAUGAGUUGCAAGAAUUAAAGUCACAGAUACUCAAAAUGCUGAACAGAUCAAGCGAUAUUGCAACGUUUGUAAAUAAAUUACAGUUUGCACAAUGUACUUAUCUGUUAUCAGUCUAUUGGUUGGAGACCUUGAGAGUAACAUAUAGUCCUGAGCCAAGCUUACAACCUAUGUUAGAAUAUCUGAGUGACUCAGCUUUGCAGAAGGAUAAAAGUGGAAUGUGGCAGUGCAUUUGCUGUGUAAGCGAUUCGGUCUUCAUGAAAUUCAAGGAGGUCAUGCAAAACAAACCAAAAGAUGAACACAGAGAAAAAGAAUUAGAAAGUCACGCUCAAUUUCUGUUAGUCAACUUCAAUCACAUCCAUAAACAGAUCAGAAGAGUAGCGGACAAAUAUCUCAGCGCCCUUGUCGAUGCCUUUCCUCAUCUGUUAUGGAAUUGUAGAGUUCUUUGGAGUAUGCUAGAUAUUUUACAAGUUUUGUCCUUUUCGUUACAACUCGAUCCUAACGAGGAGACCCCAACCCUCAGAAUUCCCAGUACGCCCUACAGUAUUCAAUUGAUGGAUACUCUUGAAGCAAGAGAAAGUAUAGUUAAAGACUUUGCUGCAAGGUGCAAGGGCAUAGUUCAAGAAGCGAUGAAGUGGGCACCGCAUGCCACUAGAUCUCACCUACAGGAGUACAUAAACCAAAUCCCAUCAUCUGGCAUGUGGCAUCAUGCUGGAUUAGCAUUAGCAACUGAUUCUGUUUUAGAGUUUACCGACCUCACCAUUACCACAGCUCCAAUGAACACAAAUUCAUUGGAUAAAAGACCACGAUGUGUCAAGGGUAACAGUUCUAAACUAGUAUCCAUGAUGUCGAUGCGUUCUCGAUACGCCGGUGAAGUUUCAGGGAUGUUGGCUUUGGACCAAGAAGAAUCGCCAACUUCUGAAAGCUCAACAUUUAAUGUUUCUCAGAAUGAGAAAGUGAUCAACAAAUUGAUGUCAUCGGUCUGGAAAGCUUGCAGAAACAGAAGUGACGCCCUGCACAGAGUCGCUCUGUGGCGUGCUACAGCUCUCUUGAUCUCCACACCUGGUAUUCAUAGGAGGCUACUGCACACAGUGGCUUGUUCGCAAAUUGAGUUAUUCACCGAUGAUGCAAUGAAGACAGCAGUGGACUGUUGGCAAUGGAUUCUAACAGCAAGACCAGACUUGAAACUAAGAUUUCUACAAGAAAUGUUAGCUGCCUGGCAGUAUACUGUUGACAAAAAAAUUGGAAUCUUCUCCUUGGAACAAGUAGAAGUCAGUCCAUUGGCAGUUUAUGAAGGCUGUCAGCUGGAGCCAGAUUCACCUCACGUGAGGCCCCAUGAUAUAUGGGUUACUUUUAUAGCGGAGUUAAUUGAAACUGGAAAAUAUUGUUGCCAAGAAACGAUAGAAAUGAUUGCAAUGCUGUUGCAUAGAUCUUUGCCAAUGGCCGUCGGAACUUUGGAAGAUCAUUUGAAUAGACACGUAGCGGCCGUAGGAGUUCGUUUCAAGCUUUUAUCUUGCGGUUUGUUGUUGCUGCAGGGUGAUAUUCUGCCAAAAUCUCUUAGCAAGAACGUCCUUAGAGAACGAAUUUAUUGCAAUUGCUUGGAUUAUUUUUGUAGAGCUCCGCAAACACCUACUCAACAUAUAUGUCAGCUUAGCGAAGAUAUUGCCACACUCAUACGAUUUUGGCAAAUAAUGCAUAGUGACAAGAAAUAUUUGACUGCCAAUGGUGUGGGUGACUUCGAUUUAUAUGGACCACACAAUAAUCUCACUUCUACUUUACAAUCCGAUCUAAAAGCUUCGACGACUAGCAGUGAAUUAACAAAACCUGUCACUGGAUGGAUAAAUACAGUUCCUUUGUCAGCAAGUACGAAUACUCUUAGCAAAAGAAGCAGCCGCAGCAAAAGAUUUGCCAAUGCUGAUGUCUUUGUCAAAGAUUAUAUAAAGAAGCGUAACCUGAUAUUGGAGCUACUCGCAGUAGAGAUAGAGUUACUGUUGGUAUGGCGUAAUCCGGGUGCUAGACAAGACUUGGCAAUGGUAGGUGAAAAUCACAUUGCCGAAUGGAGAGCUAAGACCAUGAACGAAAAAGCAUGGCGAGAUUAUACGAGGCUAGCAUGGGAGAUUAGUCCGGUAUUGGCUGUAUUUCUACCUGUUAGAUUGAAAAAUUCUGAGUUUAUAGUGAGAGAAGUUUCACGUCAAGUCAGGUUGAACCCAAUAUCAGUUGCACAUAUUCCUGAAGCGCUUCAAUAUUUGGUCACCACCGAUACCCUGCUGAACGAUGCUCCUGAACUGGUCUACAUGCUCACGUGGGCUAGGAUUUCUCCUAUUCAAGCUCUUGCGUAUUUUUCACGUCAGUUCCCACAUCAUCCAAUUUCUGCUCAGUAUGCAGUAAGAGUAUUGAGCAGUUAUCCAGCUGAUGCAGUUCUAUUUUAUAUCCCACAACUCGUUCAGGCUGUCCGACAUGAUGCUAUGGGUUACGUCAUAGAGUUUAUCAAAGCUAUUGCAAAACGGUCACAGGUAGUCGGACAUCAGUUGAUCUGGAACAUGCAUACGAACAUGUAUAUGGACGAGGACAAACAAAUAAAGGAUCCAGUACUCUUUGACAUCUUAGAUUCUCUGAUCAAAAAUAUUCUCAACUCUCUAUCUGGACCUGCCAAACAAUUUUAUGACAGAGAAUUUGACUUUUUUGGAAAAAUAACCAGUAUUUCUGGUGAGAUAAGACCUUUUCCUAAAGGUGCAGAACGAAAACAAGCGUGCUUACAGGCCUUGAGUAAAAUAAAGGUGCAAUCUGGUUGCUAUUUGCCGUCAAAUCCUGAAGCUAUGGUUCUAGAUAUCGAUUAUAACAGUGGAACACCUAUGCAAAGUGCUGCCAAAGCACCAUUCCUGGCGCGGUUUAAAGUGCAAAAAUACGGCAUCAAUGAAUUGGAGAACAUAGCAAUGGCCGUAUCCACAAAUUCUAGAAUGGAAAAUGGAAAAGAUCAUCAUGGCAUGGGUGUGGAAAUGUGGCAGGCUGCAAUAUUUAAAGUGGGUGAUGACGUAAGACAAGACAUGCUUGCCCUUCAGGUUAUUGGCAUAUUCAAAAAUGUCUUCCAGCUGGUUGGUCUCGAUUUAUAUCUUUUCCCAUAUCGAGUUGUUGCCACAGCACCAGGGUGCGGCGUCAUCGAAUGUGUGCCACGUGCAAAAUCACGAGAUCAGCUCGGCCGACAAACUGAUAUCGGAAUGUACGAAUAUUUCAUUACAAAAUAUGGAGAUGAGCAAACUAAAGAGUUUCAAAAUGCCAGAAGAAAUUUCAUCAAAUCAAUGGCAGCCUACAGCGUUAUCACAUAUUUAUUACAAAUCAAAGAUCGACAUAACGGCAAUAUCAUGUUGGAUGAAGAAGGCCACAUUAUUCACAUCGACUUUGGAUUUAUGUUCGAAUCAUCCCCAGGAGGUAAUUUGGGCUUUGAACCGGAUAUAAAACUUACAGAUGAAAUGGUGUAUGUUAUGGGAGGUAAAAUGGAAGCAGCACCAUUCAGAUGGUUCAUGGAACUUUGUGUCCAAGCAUUCUUAGCAGUUAGACCUUAUCAAGAGGCAAUAAUCUCGCUCGUUUCACUCAUGUUGGAUACAGGGCUGCCAUGCUUUCGAGGUCAAACCAUAAAACUUUUGCGAACACGAUUUGCUCCAUCAGCUACGGACCGAGAAGCCGCUGCAUUCAUGCUUAAUGUGAUUCGGAGCAGUUUCCUCAACUUCCGAACAAAAACCUAUGACAUGAUACAAUAUUACCAAAAUCAGAUUCCGUAUUAAGCUACCUAUAAAAUGAGCAUAGUCUCAACUCUUAGGCAAAUUGAACCAAUGUCAUGAAACGAUUCACAAAGUUUACAUCGUUACUUCAAAUGCCUCUACCUCCAGCAGCCAAAGUGUCACAAAUUUCUCCGUAAAUGUUCCAACGUUACUUGGAUAUUUGGUAAAAAAGUGAUCUUCUGAAAUAUAACAGUGUACAAAAAUGGAUUAAUUCCAAUUUUUUUUUGCCAAUCAGGCAUACAAGUAUGCAUUAAAUGGCUUUCGGCAUGUGAUUAUUGAUCACUUGAUUGCAGCUGAUAUAAUUAUUAGUUUCAAUCAGCCAAUCAGUGAGACAUCCUACUCGAAAUUAUGGAGGGGCUCAUGAUGUCUGUUUCCGUCAUAUGUUGAUAAUUCUCAAUAAUUGCGAGUAAAUUGUCUAUAGCUUUGAUAACAUACAACCAUGAAUUGUAUUUCGAAAUAUUGCUGCAAGAUCAGGAGAUUCGGUAGAGUCUUGCGCCAAGUACAUUCAAAAGAUAAAGAUAUUACACAUCCCAGUUAAAAAUUGUUCAAAGGAUAUUAGUAUAUUCUAUAUUAUUGUCACUGUUAAAUGAAAUGAUAUUACCAUUAUUUAUCAUGUUGAAUGAAAACCGUGUACAUUCCACUAUUAUAUUUAUUAAUCCAUAUAGGUAAUUAAAAAUUGUUAUGUAUUACAUUACGAAAAUACUUUAUACGUAUUACAUCGUAACUUGCGCUGGCAUCUCAUUUAUGUAAAUUUGUUGUCUUUUCAUUUGGAAAUUUAAUUUCGUAGUUAAUGUUGUUAGGAUUAUGUACAGAACUAAAUACCUCCUAAUUCACUUUUAUCCGAGACCUCCAAUAAUGACGCGUUCAUCGCAGACAUCUAUGAUUACAUUUAGUGGCAACUUGUCCAUGUCAAAAAAACCUCAUAUUGUACAUGUUUGCGUUUUGGUUUACGUUCCUUGAUAUUUGUGAACUAGUUAUAGGUAUGUGUAUAAUUUAUUGAAUUACUGGUCUCAUAAAUGUGUACAUAUAUCAAAAUGAAAAUAAAAAAGGCAUAUAUACUUUAAACAUGCCUU
rnacentral:misc_RNA from 1 species